GCCCCAUUGGUGUAAUGGAUAGCAUCAAAAACUUCUAAUUUUUGGAUCUAGGUUCGAUUCCUAGGUGGGGCA
rnacentral:tRNA from 1 species